rnacentral:tRNA from 1 species
AGUCCUGAGGUGAAACAUGACAUGUUGAAUUGCAAAUUCAAAGAAGCAGCUUCAAUUCUGCCGGGACUU